GCCAGACUCCUACGGGAGGCAGCAGUGGGGGAUAUUGCACAAUGGGGGAAACCCUGAUGCAGCGACGCCGCGUGGGUGAAGAAGCGCCUCGGCGCGUAAAGCCCUGUCAGCAGGGAAGAAAAUGACGGUACCUGACUAAGAAGCCCCGGCUAACUACGUGCCAGCAGCCGCGGUAAUACGUAGGGGGCAAGCGUUAUCCGGAUUUACUGGGUGUAAAGGGAGCGUAGACGGCUAUGCAAGUCUGGAGUGAAAGGCGGGGGCCCAACCCCCGGACUGCUCUGGAAACUGUAGAGCUAGAGUGCAGGAGAGGUAAGUGGAAUUCCUAGUGUAGCGGUGAAAUGCGUAGAUAUUAGGAGGAACACCAGUGGCGAAGGCGGCUUACUGGACUGUAACUGACGUUGAGGCUCGAAAGCGUGGGGAGCAAACAGGAUUAGAUACCCGAGUA
rnacentral:rRNA from 1 species